UACGUAGGGGGCAAGCGUUGUCCGGAUUCACUGGGCGUAAAGAGCGUGUAGGCGGCCAGGUAGGUCGGUUGUGAAAACUGGAGGCUCAACCUUCAGAGGUCGACCGAAACCAUCUGGCUAGAGUCCGGGAGAGGAGAGUGGAAUUCCUGGUGUAGCGGUGAAAUGCGCAGAUAUCAGGAAGAACACCCGUGGCGAAAGCGGCUCUCUGGAACGGUACUGACGCUGAGACGCGAAAGCGUGGGGAGCGAACAGG
rnacentral:rRNA from 1 species